rnacentral:rRNA from 1 species
AAUUACCCACUCCCGGCACGGGGAGGUAGUGACGAAAAAUAACGAUACGGGACUCAUCCGAGGCCCCGUAAUCGGAAUGAGUACACUCUAAACCCUUUAACGAGGAUCAAUUGGAGGGCAAGUCUGGUGCCAGCAGCCGCGGUAAUUCCAGCUCCAAUAGCGUAUAUUAAAGUUGUUGCGGUUAAAAAGCUCGUAGUCGAAUCUGUGUCUUGCGCCGCCGGUGCAUCGCUCGCGGUGUUUAACUGGCGUGUCCGCGAGACGUCCUGCCGGUGGGCUUAGCCCGGCAACGGGCGGCCCAACUUGAAAUCCCACCGCGGUGCUCUUGAUUGAGUGUCGAGGUGGGCCGGCACGUUUACUUUGAACAAAUUAGAGUGCUUAAAGCAGGCUAAAACUUCGCCUGAAUACUGUGUGCAUGGAAUAAUGGAAUAGGACCUCGGUUCUAUUUUGUUGGUUUUCGGAACCCCGAGGUAAUGAUUAAUAGGAACGGAUGGGGGCAUUCGUAUUGCGACGUUAGAGGUGAAAUUCUUGGAUCGUCGCAAGACGGACAGAAGCGAAAGCAUUUGCCAAAAACGCUUUCAUUGAUCAAGAACGAAAGUUAGAGGUUCGAAGGCGAUCAGAUACCGCCCUAGUUCUAACCAUAAACGAUGCCAGCUAGCGAUCCGCCGACGUUCCUCCGAUGACUCGGCGGGCAGCUUCCGGGAAACCAAAGCUUUUGGGUUCCGGGG